AAGUGGUCAGGAGGAUUAUUGGGCCUAAAGCAUCCGUAGCCUGCUCUUCAAGUUUUCGGUUAAAUCUAUACGCUUAACGUAUAGGCUGCCAAAAAUACUGUAGAGCUAGGGAGUGGGAGAGGUAGACGGUACUCGGUAGGAAGGGGUAAAAUCUUUUGAUCUAUUGAUGACCACCUGUGGCGAAGGCGGUCUACCAGAACAUGUUCGACGGUGAGGGAUGAAAGCUGGGGGAGCAAACCGGAUUAGAUACCCGGGUAGUCCCAGCUGUAAACGAUGCAGACUCGAUGAUGCAUUGGCAUAUAGCCAGUGCAGUGUCGCAGGGAAGCCGUUAAGUCUGCCGCCUGGGAAGUACGUACGCAAGUAUGAAACUUAAAGGAAUUGGCGGGGGAGCACCACAAGGGGUGAAGCCUGCGGUUCAAUUGGAGUCAACGCCAGAAAUCUUACCCGGAGAGACAGCAGAAUGAAGGUCAGGCUGAAGACCUUACCAGACAAGCUGAGAGGUGGUGCAUGGCCGUCGCCAGCUCGUGCCGUGAGAUGUCCUGUUAAGUCAGGUAACGAGCGAGAUCCCUGCCAUUAGUUGCCAUCACUACUCUCAGGAGUAGUGGGGCGAAUUAAUGGGACCGCCGUAGUUAAUACGGAGGAAGGAAGGGGCCACGGCAGGUCAGUAUGCCCCGAAACUCU
rnacentral:rRNA from 1 species